rnacentral:rRNA from 1 species
GACGAACGCUGGCGGCGUGCUUAACACAUGCAAGUCGAACGGAAAGGCCCUGCUUUUGUGGGGUGCUCGAGUGGCGAACGGGUGAGUAACACGUGAGUAACCUGCCCUUGACUUUGGGAUAACUUCAGGAAACUGGGGCUAAUACCGGAUAGGAGCUCCUGCUGCAUGGUGGGGGUUGGAAAGUUUCGGCGGUUGGGGAUGGACUCGCGGCUUAUCAGCUUGUUGGUGGGGUAGUGGCUUACCAAGGCUUUGACGGGUAGCCGGCCUGAGAGGGUGACCGGCCACAUUGGGACUGAGAUACGGCCCAGACUCCUACGGGAGGCAGCAGUGGGGAAAAUUGCACAAUGGGCGGAAGCCUGAUGCAGCAACGCCGCGUGCGGGAUGACGGCCUUCGGGUUGUAAACCGCUUUCGCCUGUGACGAAGCGUGAGUGACGGCAAUGGGUAAAGAAGCACCGGCUAACUACGUG